UCCCUAGCUCGAAAAUAAACUGAAACCUUUUUUUGCAGGAGGGUGCGUAUGAGGAACAGAUUGAGGGGGUGACCAGAAGGAGCAACGGCGGGAGUCUGGACAACGGCCGGACUUUCAACUCCAGGGGCUGCACAGGGGACCCAAACACCAAAUAUUCUGUCUCGCUCUGUAAUUGAAAUCUCUCGCGGCGCGGCCGCCAGGGUUGGUAAACUUGAUGAGAUUUAACUUGACCAAAGAUAAUUUGGAGAAGAGCGAAGUGUGUAUUUUGGGCUGCUGUUUGUCGGUGUGCGUGUGUGCGUGCGUAUAGGUGUAAGAACACACCUGCGUUCAAGGGGAUUUGGUGUCUGCCUGUGCGGAGGUGAGGAAGAAUCGACGGGAUUUCUCUGCGGUUUUCGCUGCCUGUAUCCGAAUAAAUUCAGCUCGCAGGCAUCCGGCAGGAAACGGCUCCCGGUUCGAGUGUACGCAGACGCAUCGGCCCAGCACGGGACGCGAGGUGGCUCCUGGUGAUCGUGCGGCUGUAGGUCCGGCCUCCGAAGGAGGCUAGACUAUCAGCGCCCUCAGGCCGGGAGCGGCCCCUUGCUGCCCCGCAGUGCCGAGCACCCCCUCCCCCCGCCCCCCCGCCGCUCCCCCCCCGCGGUGCUUCGAAAACCUGCCCAGCUGAGUCCGCCCGCGGCGAAAACUGAAAGCAAAUUCCGCGGCAAAUGAAGCCCGAACUUUCUUCGACGCAACUUUGCCAAAAUGAUUCGGUGGCGACUUAGGAUGGCGCGCGGGUGUGUGCGUGCGCAAGGUCGGGGCGGUGGGCGAAGAAGGCUUGCGGAGGCCGAGCCUGGCCCUAGGCGAAACGCUAGGGAAGGCGCCUCCCCUUCCUUAUUUCUCGCCAACUCCCCGGUCCCAGUCCGUAAAAAUAGUUUCCCAUGUGUAGCGGACGCCCAGGAUGUGUUUGUGGGGAUAGCACCAGGAAGAAGGAAGCUUUGUAAAAGUUGCAGAAAGAGCUUUGCCCAGAAGCGUCCGCGAGCAGGGCUCAAGAAAGCUGGGAACCAGCUCGCCUUCCCCAGGGCGGAAUGCCUAGAAAUCGGCUUGGGGAGCCCCCAGCCCAGUCCCCUCCCCUCCCGUCGAACCCGCGCGUAAAUAACCUCCGGCAGUCCGCGCUGGAAACUCACAAGCGCGGCGCCGCGGUUGGCUGGCGAGGUCGAGACGCUGAGCUGGCCCGCAAGGCCGCUCCUUGGCGCGCUCAGCCCCAGCCCUAAGGGAGGCUUGCACCGAGGUGAGAGGACGAGUGUGGUUUCAGCUCCUGCUCGGCUGCCUAGACCAUCACCGCCGACCUCCCAACUCCCUGGAGUGGGCGCUUCCCCCCUGGGAGCGGCAGUCUUGGGGGGCUGGCGAGGGCACAAAGUGCGCGCGCGGGCCCGCGCGGGGGUGAGGGGCGGCUGCCGGUCGCUCCGCAGGGCCUGUCGCCGGGCCGGCCGCGGCGGGUGAGUGAUGAGGGCAGAGAAGGGCGCCCAUAAAUCGCGGGUGUCAGGGCGAAAAACUCUCUUUAUUGUCUGCGUGAUGGAUGGGCCCGGGGACGAGACACCAAAUACUUCGUAUCGCCUUUAAAUGGGAACACAUUUUCCGCGGCCAUAAUUCAUGUUUUUUAAAUAGAAAGUUUGAAAUGUUGCCUAUAUUUCACCGGCCCUGACAUAUUUAUGAAUCGCUCCCUGCAUGCAAAUAUCAUUAUUUAAAGCGCCAGGGAGAGCUCAGGGGGGAGGGGAGGAGGCACGGCCCCCGUGGCGUGGGGGUGGUGAACCGGGGAAAUGCGGAUGGAGGGGGGGCGUGCAUCUCCCUAAAGUGCGGACAAUGAGGCGCGGGGUAAAGCCUUAUCCAGAAGCCGAGCGCACCGGGGGCUCCCCUCUGGACCGAUCACUGCCGCUCCGGGAAGUUUGAGCGGCUUGGACCGAGGGACAGGCCUCCGCCCCCUGCGGGGAGGCCCGGGGGGCCUUUUGCGUCCCUCUCCGAGGCCCUAAUCCGAGCCAAAGCCACCUUUUCCAAGAAGAAAAUGUUUUUUUUUUUUAAAUAAAAGAAUUUAACAAACGCAAAUAAUAACAAUCCAACAUGUUUCGUGUUCUUUGC